rnacentral:rRNA from 1 species
AGCGAACGCUGGCGGCAGGCUUAACACAUGCAAGUCGAGCGGGCAUAGCAAUAUGUCAGCGGCAGACGGGUGAGUAACGCGUGGGAACGUACCUUUUGGUUCGGAACAACACAGGGAAACUUGUGCUAAUACCGGAUAAGCCCUUACGGGGAAAGAUUUAUCGCCGAAAGAUCUGCCCGCGUCUGAUUAGCUAGUUGGUGAGGUAAUGGCUCACCAAGGCGACGAUCAGUAGCUGGUCUGAGAGGAUGAUCAGCCACAUUGGGACUGAGACACGGCCCAAACUCCGACGGGAGGCAGCAGUGGGGAAUAUUGGACAAUGGGCGCAAGCCUGAUCCAGCCAUGCCGCGUGAGUGAUGAAGGCCCUAGGGUUGUAAAGCCCUUUUGUGCGGGAAGAUAAUGACGGUACCGCAAGAAUAAGCCCCGGCUAACUUCGUGCCAGCCGCCGCCGUAA